rnacentral:rRNA from 1 species
CAGACGAAGUCCUAUGGAUCGUAAACUGCUUUUUACGAGAGCAAAAAGGGGCAUGCGUGCCUUCUGAGAGUAUCGUAAGAAUAAGCAUCGGCUAACUCCGUGCCAGCAGCCGCGGUAAUACGGAGGAUGCGAGCGUUAUCCGGAUUUAUUGGGUUUAAAGGGUGCGUAGGCGGAAUGCUAAGUCAGCGGUGAAAUUUUGGGGCUUAACCCCACACGUGCCGUUGAUACUGGCGUUCUUGAGGGCAAGUGAGGCUGGCGGAAUGUGCAGUGUAGCGGUGAAAUGUUUAGAUAUUGCACAGAACACCGAUUGCGAAGGCAGCUGGCUAACUUGCAUCUGACGCUGAGGCACGACAGCGUGGGGAGCAAACAGGAUUAGAUACCCUGGUAGUCCACGCCGUAAACUAUGAAUGCUCGCUGUUUGGCGCUAUGCGUUGAGCGGCUAAGAGAAAUCGUUAAGCAUUCCACCUGGGGAGUACGACCGCAAGGUUGAAACUCAAAGGAAUUGACGGGGGCCCGCACAAGCGGAGGAACAUGUGGUUUAAUUCGAUGAUACGCGAGGAACCUUACCCGGGCUUGAAAUAGAAUGGAAUAGCGGUGAAAGCCGUGAACAAUCAAGACAUUCUGUAGGUGCUGCAUGGUUGUCGUCAGCUCGUGCCGUGAGGUGUCGGCUUAAGUGCCACAACGAGCGCAACCCUUGCCUUCGGUUGCCAGCGGGUAAUGCCGGGGACUUCGGAGGGACUGCCGCCGUAAGGUGGAGGAAGGUGGGGAUGACGUCAAAUCAGCACGGCCCUUACGUCCGGGGCGACACACGUGUUACAAUGGGCGGUACAGAGGGCAGCAACACAGCAAUGUGAAGCAAAUCUCUAAAGCCGCUCUCAGUUCGGAUUGGAGUCUGCAACUCGACUCCAUGAAGUUGGAUUCGCUAGUAAUCGCGCAUCAGCCAUGGCGCGGUGAAUACGUUCCCGGGCCUUGUACACACCGCCCGUCAAGCCAUGGAAGUUGGGAGCGCCUGAAGUACGUAACCGCAAGGAGCGUCCUAAGCG